rnacentral:rRNA from 1 species
CCCCCAGCAUAGGGAGACUUGGCACACUGGAUGAAUAACGCGUACGGAUCAACCCUUGACUACUGAAUAGCCCGUGGAAACUUGAGCACUCCCCGUAAGUGUCCCUCAGGAGAAAUAGUUAUUUGUCAAGGAUGAUCCCGCGUUGGAUUUGGCUUUGGUGGGGUAAAGGCCUGGAAGGCGACGAUCCAUAGCUGGUCUGAGAGGAUGAUUCCCACAUUGGGACUGAGACACGGCCCUGAUCCUACGGGAGGCAGCAGUGGGGAAUAUUGGACAAUGGGCGCCUACCUGAUCCAGCCAUGCCGAAUGAGUGAUGAUGGCCCUAAGGUUGUCAAGCUCUUUCAGCGAGAAUGAAAUGAGUUUAUCGAUCAUAAAAAUCCCCGGCUAACUUCGUGCCAGUACCCUCGGUAAUACGAAGUGGGCUAACGUUGUUUAGAAUUACUGGGCCUGAAACGCACGUACGCGGAUCCAUCGUACUGGGGAGAAGGCAAACGGCGCAACCCUGGAACUGCCUUUGAUGCUGUCCAUCUGGAUUAUGGAAAUAUGUGAUUGAAAUUCCCAGUGUAAACGUGAAAUUGUCAUUAUAUUCUGAGGAACACCAGUGGCGAAAGGCGGCUCUGUGAUCCAUCAUUGACGCCUGGAGUGCCAAAGCGUGGGGGAACAAACACGAUUAGGAUAACCCUGGACACUCUACUCUGUAAACGACGCAUGUUAGCCGUCGCGCAGUAAACUGUUCGGUGUCGCAUCUAACGCAUUCAACUUUCUUCCUGGGGAGUUCCGUCCCAAAAUGAAACUCAAAA